CCCAUAUAUCACAUAUUAACAAUUUUUAACAUCAACAAUCACAAAUUAAUCAAAUUUUAGAAAUUUGACAUUGCGAAGGCAAAUAUGGCAUCAUUGCUAUCUGGGUGAAACCAAGUUUCGGAGACACAGAUGGCAUCUAUCUCAGAACCUUCAAAAAGCUGUCGCAAUUCAUCAAUUCUGUUGGUGUAAGGGUGUAAGCUUUGCCAAGAUUCGUAUCAUUGUGAAAUUCUCGUCUCUGGAACCGGAAACAUAGCUACUCAUAAUUUAUGAUUUUAGCAGAAUUCAACACAUCGAAAUUGUAGAAGAUGAAACUUAAAUAUGCAGUAUAAAUAUGAUUGUCCGCGACUGCAAUUGCAGCUACUCCAUAUCCGCAACCUGUGGCUAAGCUUCUCGUCACGACGAAGAACAUCACACAAAUCGAUGGUCCCUCUUUUUAAUGAUAAAUUUAAUGUGCUAUUUCGUCGCUGUCGCAAUCAUGUCAUUUGACCCCGAAAAAUUUCUUUCAUUGGGAUUUGGCAGUGAAAAAUGUACACCUUUUAGCCAAACAACACUUCAAAGUUUAAAAUGUGAAAUAGUUUGGCAAUUUUCUACAUUUGAUUUAAAUUAUGUCUUAAAGAUUUUAAAAAAUAUAUGUAGCGUAGCGCAGAGGUAGCAUGUUCGCCUUUGACGGUCAAGCUGUGUCGAAAAGUUGCUAAAAAAUGUUUGCUCAUAAUUCCAAUAGAUCCUUUAUACAUAAAAAAAAUAUUUAGUACAAUUAAUCAUAGCGCUUGAUGAUUGCACAUCCCUUAAUAAAAAAAAAUAAUAAUGAUGGAAAAA